AUUGUUUUGUAUUUGACUCUUAAUCUUUCUAAUAUAUAAGUCUCAGACGGAAAAACAGAAAAGAAAUUCAUGAUACGGCAAUAAUGACGUUUAACGCCACUGAAGUAAAGAAAGGAAAAGGCCAAGAGAUUCCCUCUUUGGUCUUCACCAACACAAACGCAUUGUACAAUAGGGCCAACGGAAAAUUAAAUUAAAUAACCGUCUGCAUAUUUUUUUUGAGUUACGAAAAAAUCAAUCGUUUUAAAAUGACAUCAGUAUCUUAUUGUUACAUAUGCAGGUCCGUACUAAAUAUUUGGAGAGGUCUAAACCAUUGUGAGUAAA
rnacentral:sRNA from 1 species